rnacentral:rRNA from 1 species
CAGCAGCCGCGGUAAUACGUAGGGUGCGAGCGUUAAUCGGAAUUACUGGGCGUAAAGCGUGCGCAGGCGGUUUUGUAAGACAGGCGUGAAAUCCCCGGGCUCAACCUGGGAAUGGCGCUUGUGACUGCAAAGCUAGAGUGCGGCAGAGGGGGAUGGAAUUCCGCGUGUAGCAGCGAAAUGCGUAGAUAUGCGGAGGAACACCGAUGGCGAAGGCAAUCCCCUGGGCCUGCACUGACGCUCAUGCACGAAAGCGUGGGGAGCAAACAGGAUUAGAUACCCCGGUAGUCCCUGUCUCUUAUAC